rnacentral:rRNA from 1 species
GACGAACGCUGGCGGCGUGCCUAAUACAUGCAAGUAGAACGCUGAAGCGAUGAGCUUGCUCUUCUUGGCUGAGUUGCGAACGGGUGAGUAACGCGUAGGUAACCUGCCUUGUAGCAGGGGAUCACUAUUGGAAACGUUAGCUAAUACCGCAUAACAAUGUAUGACACAAGUCUUUUAUUUGCAUGGGGCAAUUGCACCACUACACUAUGGACCUGCGUUGUAUUAGGUAGUAGGUGAGGUAAUUGCUCACCUAGGCGACGAUACAUAGACGGCCUGAGAGGGUGGUCCGGCCACAUGGGGACGGAGCCACGCCCCGAAUCCCUAGGGGGGCAGGAAGAGGGAAUCCUCGGAAAAGGGGGCAAAGCUGAACGGGGAAAGCCGCGGGAGUGAAGAAGGUUUUCGGAUCGUAAAGCUCUGUUGUAAGGCAAGAACGGGGGUGAGGGUGGAAAGUUCACACUGUGACGGUAGCUAACCAGAAAGGGACGGCUAACUACGUG